rnacentral:rRNA from 1 species
UACGUAGGCAGCAAGCGUUGUUCGGAAUUACUGGGCGUAAAGGGUGCGUAGGCGGGUCUGUAAGUGUGGUGUGAAAUCUCCCGGCUUAACUGGGAGGGGGCGUUAUAGACUGUGGGGCUAGAGUGUGGGAGAGGAAAGUGGAAUUCCUGGUGUAGCGGUGAAAUGCGUAGAUAUCAGGAGGAACACCGGUGGUGUAAACGGCUUUCUGGACCAUAACUGACGCUGAGGCACGAAAGCGUGGGUAGCAAACAGG